CGAGGAUAAGGCUUUUGCCACAUUUGUGACUGUUGCCUCUACUUCACCAGUGACCAAUCAAGAAAACGCCAUUGAUGCAUGCUUGUACGAACAUGCCACUGUGUGCACACAUACGAGGGAUGUAUGUGAGGAGAAUCCACCAAACUACUUCUAUACAUGCAAGUGCGCUGUUGAUGGCACUCUACAAGAUAAUGGCAUCUGCAAGUACUCGUCAACUCUUCCACCAACAACAACACCAGUGCCAACUACCCAGGCAACGACUACCCAGGCUUCAACUACCCAGGCAUCAAAUACCCAGGCAACAACCACCCUGGCUUCAACUACACAGGCAACGACUACCACAGCACCAGCUAUGCCAUCAUCUACUGAUAUGCAAACAAAACAUCCAAAGGUGGAGCCACAGCCUUGGGACU